rnacentral:rRNA from 1 species
UGGUGGAGUGAUUUGUCUGCUUAAUUGCGAUAACGAACGAGACCUUAACCUGCUAAAUAGCCCGGCCGGCUUUGGCUGGCCGCUGGCUUCUUAGAGGGACUUUCAACGUUUAGUUGAAGGAAGUUUGAGGCAAUAACA